GACGAACGCUGGCGGCGUGCCUAAUACAUGCAAGUAGAACGCACAGUUUAUACCGUAGCUUGCUACACCAUAGACUGUGAGUUGCGAACGGGUGAGUAACGCGUAGGUAACCUGCCUGGUAGCGGGGGGUAACUAUUGGAAACGAUAGCUAAUACCGCAUAAUAUUGAUUAUUGCAUGAUAAUUGAUUGAAAGAUGCUAUUGCAUCACUACCAGAUGGACCUGCGUUGUAUUAGCUAGUAGGUGAGGUAACGGCUCACCUAGGCGACGAUACAUAGCCGACCUGAGAGGGUGAUCGGCCACACUGGGACUGAGACACGGCCCAGACUCCUACGGGAGGCAGCAGUAGGGAAUCUUCGGCAAUGGACGAAAGUCUGACCGAGCAACGCCGCGUGAGUGAAGAAGGUUUUCGGAUCGUAAAGCUCUGUUGUAAGAGAAGAACGGGUGUGAGAGUGGAAAGUUCACACUGUGACGGUAUCUUACCAGAAAGGGACGGCUAACUACGUG
rnacentral:rRNA from 1 species